ACCCCUGCAUCGCCCUCCAGAAUGCAGUAGACGUCGUCAGUGAGAGAAAAUUUCUCGGGUGACGAGUGAAGACGGAUGAGUAUGCGUAGCAUCUCCUGAUAGUGGCGCCUAUGUACAGCAACCGCUCGUUAUACGCAUACGGCGUCAAGAACAAAGCAGGGGACCCUUCGGGCCUCGUGCCAUCAGAUGAGCCCAGAUGGGAUUAGGUAGCUAGGGGGGUAACGCCCCACAAGAGGACGAUUCCGUACCUGUUUGAGAGGAUGUCCAGCACCAUUGAAAUUGAAACACGUUCCGGAUUCCUAGGGCAGGCGGCGGUGGGGAUUAUUGAACAAUGGGGGCAGGCUUGACCCACCCUUGCCGCGUGUAUGAAGAAGCCUUUCGGGUGUUAAAGCACUUUCAUUGGGAAGGAAGGCAAUAAGGUUAUUACCGGUUGUUUUGGACGUUACCCAAAGAAUAAGCACCGGUUAAUUCCGUGCCGGCAGCCGCGGUAUUACGGAGGGUGCAAGCGUUAUUGGGAAUUAUUGGGGGUAAAGCGCACGCAGGCGGUGUGUCAAGUUGGAUGUGAAAUCCCCGGGCUCAACCUGGGAACUGCAUUCGAAACUGGCAGGCUGGAGUCUUGUAGAGGGGGGUAGAAUUCCAGGUGUAGCGGUGAAAUGC
rnacentral:rRNA from 1 species